rnacentral:rRNA from 1 species
ACACAUGCAAGUCGAACGAAGCGCUUAAAUGGAUUUCUUCGGAUUGAAGUUUUUGUGACUGAGUGGCGGACGGGUGAGUAACGCGUGGGUAACCUGCCUCAUACAGGGGGAUAACAGUUAGAAAUGACUGCUAAUACCGCAUAAGCGCACAGUGCUGCAUGGCACAGUGUGAAAAACUCCGGUGGUAUGAGAUGGACCCGCGUCUGAUUAGCUGGUUGGUGGGGUAACGGCCUACCAAGGCGACGAUCAGUAGCCGGCCUGAGAGGGUGAACGGCCACAUUGGGACUGAGACACGGCCCAAACUCCUACGGGAGGCAGCAGUGGGGAAUAUUGCACAAUGGGGGAAACCCUGAUGCAGCGACGCCGCGUGAGCGAAGAAGUAUUUCGGUAUGUAAAGCUCUAUCAGCAGGGAAGAAAAUGACGGUACCUG